UGGCUCAGGAUGAACGCUAGCUACAGGCUUAACACAUGCAAGUCGAGGGGCAGCAUCGCGAUAGCUUGCUAUUGCGGAUGGCGACCGGCGCACGGGUGAGUAACGCGUAUCCAACCUUCCCGCAACUGGGGAAUAACCUUGCGAAAGUAAGACUAAUACCCCAUGGUCUCCACGGAUGGCAUCUGAAAUGGAGUAAAGGUUCCGGCCGGUUGCGGAUGGGGACGCGUCCGAUUAGCUUGACGGCGGGGUAACGGCCCACCGUGGCAUCGAUCGGUAGGGGUUCUGAGAGGAAGGUCCCCCACAUUGGAACUGAGACACGGUCCAAACUCCUACGGGAGGCAGCAGUGAGGAAUAUUGGUCAAUGGGCGGAAGCCUGAACCAGCCAAGUAGCGUGAAGGACGACUGCCCUAUGGGUUGUAAACUUCUUUUAUGCGGGGAUAAAGUUCGCCACGUGUGGCGUUUUGCAGGUACCGCAUGAAUAAGGACCGGCUAAUUCCGUGCCAGCAGCCGCGGUAAUACGGAAGGUCCAGGCGUUAUCCGGAUUCAUUGGGUUUAAAGGGAGCGUAGGCCGCCUUUUAAGCGUGUUGUGAAAUGUAGGGGCUCAACCCCUGCACUGCAGCGCGAACUGGAGGGCUUGAGUACACACAAAGUAGGCGGAAUUCAUGGUGUAGCGGUGAAAUGCUUAGAUAUCAUGAAGAACCCCGAUUGCGAAGGCAGCUUACUGGAGUGUAACUGACGCUGAAGCUCGAAAGCGCGGGUAUCGAACAGGAUUAGAUACCCUGGUAGUCCGCGCGGUAAACGAUGGAUGCCCGCUGUUUGCCAAUUUGGUAAGCGGCCAAGCGAAAGCGUUAAGCAUCCCACCUGGGGAGUACGCCGGCAACG
rnacentral:rRNA from 1 species